GGGGCUGUAGCUCAGUGGUUGAGCACUUGUCUGGUGUGCAUGAGGCACUGGGUUCAUUCCUCAGCACCA
rnacentral:tRNA from 1 species